UGGCAUGGCUGCUCCCAGCUCUUUGGGCUCAGGAUAUACUGUUAAUGCUUCAAGGUAGUCUGGUCGUCUCCUGGUGUCCGAUCCGGCCGCCAGGUUCUUCAGGUCUGCAGUCCUAGUCUGUCGGGGAGCAGGGCCUGGGCUCUGAGGAGAAUGGAUCCUUCUUUGGAUUCAUGGGACUUCUCUUCACCUUUAAUAUCAUUAUGGAUAAACAGGUUUUACAUAUAUUUGGGCUUUGCCUUUGGCAUUAGCCUUUGGAUUUGUUUCCAGAUUGUCAUCAGGAAGCAGUUGUUUAUCUUUAAGGACAAGAACUCAAAGGAUAAAUCUGUUCCAAAAGCAACUCGGGAUUCGAUGCCAAACGGUCAUAUCGCUCUGCAAAAGAAGGACAUCUUUGUGUCUGGAGUGAAGAUUUUCUAUGGUUCCCAGACUGGAACAGCAAAGGGAUUUGCAGCAAGUCUUGCUGAAGCAGUUGCCUCCCUAGAUCUGCCCGUGGCAGUUAUUAAUCUCCAAGAAUACGAUCCAGACGAUCAUCUAGUAGAAGAGGUUACUAGUAAAAACAUUUGUGCCUUCCUGGUUGCAACGUACACUGACGGUCGACCCACGGAAAGUGCAGAGUGGUUCUGCAAAUGGUUAGAGGAAGCAGCCAGUGAUUUCCGAUUUGGCAAAACUUACCUGAAGGGUAUGGGAUACGCUGUGUUUGGCCUGGGAAAUUCUGCCUAUGCAAGCCACUUCAACAAGGUCAGCAAGAACGUUGACAAGUGGCUCUGGAUGCUUGGCGCUCAUCGCGUGGUGGCUAGAGGGGAGGGUGACUGCAACGUGGUCAAAAGCAAACGUGGCAGCAUCGAAGCCGACUUCAGCGUUUGGAAGACCAAGUUCAUCUCCCGGCUGCAGGCACUUCAGAAAGGCGAGAAAAAACCCUGUGGCGGCAACUGCAAGGAAGGCCAGUGCGAAUCAUCCGCGGAGGAAGAGCUCGUGGAGAGCAGCAGUGAGGAGGAGUCUGGUGUCGAGGACCACGAGAAUCCCAAUUCUGUCGUUGAUGUUGAAGACCUCGGCAAAAUUAUGAAUUGUGCGAAGAAAGAAAAGAGAGAGAAGGAGCACCAGGAGGAGAAUAGCGCUCUGGUCAGGAGCACCGGGAAGGGUGAAGGCCCGGAAAGAAGGGCCAUGAUAACCCCUGCUCUCCGAGAAGCCCUUACUAAACAAGGUUAUCAGUUGAUUGGGAGUCACUCUGGGGUGAAGCUUUGCAGAUGGACAAAGUCGAUGCUCCGAGGGAGAGGAGGUUGCUACAAACAUACAUUCUAUGGCAUCGAAAGUCAUCGAUGCAUGGAAACUACCCCAAGUUUGGCAUGUGCAAAUAAAUGUGUCUUCUGUUGGCGGCACCACACCAAUCCAGUGGGCACUGAGUGGCGGUGGAAGAUGGACCAGCCUGAAAUGAUCUUGAAGGAAGCCAUUGAAAAUCAUCAGAACAUGAUUAAGCAGUUUAAAGGGGUCCCAGGUGUCAAAGAAGAUCGUUUUGAGGAGGGGAUGAUGGUAAAGCACUGUGCGUUGUCCCUUGUGGGCGAACCCAUCAUGUACCCGGAAAUCAAUAGGUUUUUGAAAUUACUCCACGAGUGUAAAAUCUCCAGUUUCCUGGUCACAAACGCACAAUUCCCUGUGGAAAUCAGGAACCUCAAACCAGUCACACAGCUCUAUGUCAGCGUGGAUGCUAGCACCAAAGACAGCCUGAAGAAAAUUGACCGCCCUCUCUUCAAGGAUUUCUGGCACAGAUUCCUCAACAGCUUAAAAGCCUUGGCAGCAAAGCAACAGCGUACUGUGUACAGGCUGACUCUGGUGAAGGCGUGGAAUGUAGAAGAGCUCCAGGCCUACGCCGAGCUGGUGUCCCUGGGGAGCCCCGACUUCAUCGAGGUGAAGGGUGUCACCUACUGCGGAGAGAGUUCAGCAAGCAGUCUCACCAUGGCCAACGUGCCCUGGCACGAGGAGGUGGUACACUUUGUGCGCGAGCUGGUGGCUCUCAUCCCCGACUAUGAAAUUGCUUGUGAACACGAACAUUCCAACUGCCUCCUGAUAGCGCACAAAAGGUUUAAGAUUGAUGGAGAAUGGUGGACGUGGAUUGAUUAUAACCGCUUCCAGGAGCUCGUGCAGGAAUAUGAAGAUAGCGGUGGAGCCACAGAUUUCAGCGCCAAGGAUUAUAUGGCCAAAACCCCUCACUGGGCAUUAUUUGGUGCCAGUGAAAGAGGCUUUGAUCCCAAGGAUACCAGAUAUCAGAGAAAGAACAAAUCAAAGGAUAUUUCCGGAUGUUGAGAUUAUCUGACUAUAUUAGGGUACUGACGGACAAGAACUCCCGGCCCUGGAAGGUUCUCACCCUCCAUUGUGGUUUUUCCAAGGACACGUUACAUGAUUUGUGUUUCACAUAGGGGAGGCUGGAAGGCUGCACACAGGGAUGCAAGUCCCGUCCCGGUUAGGGGAGGUGGCAUCCACACUCUGAGUGCCUGGGGCUCAGCCUUGCAUUUCUUUUCAGAGCUCAGUCCCUUUUCUGAUUUUACUUCCGAGAGGAGCAUCACUGCGGGGGAAGUACACAGCCAUUAGAAUUUAACGGCUGGUGUUUGAAUUAUAACUUGUGAGGCUCCCAAGAACACUGUUCCUGAGGGUGUUGUAAGGGAUGAACCCCGCGCGGGCUGUUGGCCUUUGUGGGCUGUAUUACCCCAAGAUUGCCAUGGAAGGUAUUAGUGGGCUGCACCAGUGUGAAAGUGCUCUUCUGGAAGAAUCACCCUUAUGAUGUCAUCAAUUAGUCUCACAGGCAAACUUUGAGUGCGGUUUGCUUUUUGUUCAAAAAGUCAUUGGUCAGGCCCCUGGCCUUGUAUCCAGAACUUCUUUUCCCUCUUAGAGCCCCGGCUACUGGACACAAACUGUUCUUCAGGUUCAAGUUUUUUCUAAUCAAAAACAUUGACUACCCAAUAGUUUGUUUUAAAAUAUCAUAGUUAUUUUUUAAAAAUUCCUUUAC